AGCGAACGCUGGCGGCAGGCCUAACACAUGCAAGUCGAACGAACCUUUCGGGGUUAGUGGCGGACGGGUGAGUAACACGUGGGAACGUGCCUUUAGGUUCGGAAUAACUCAGGGAAACUUGUGCUAAUACCGAAUGUGCCCUUCGGGGGAAAGAUUAAUCGCCUUUAGAGCGGCCCGCGUCUGAUUAGCUAGUUGGUUGAGGUAAUGGCUCACCAAGGUGACGAUCAGUAGCUGGUCUGAGAGGAUGAUCAGCCACAUUGGGACUGAGACACGGCCCAAACUCCUACGGGAGGCAGCAGUGGGGAAUCUUGCGCAAUGGGCGAAAGCCUGACGCAGCCAUGCCGCGUGAAUGAUGAAGGUCUUAGGAUUGUAAAAUUCUUUCACCGGGGACGAUAAUGACGGUACCCGGAGAAGAAGCCCCGGCUAACUUCGUG
rnacentral:rRNA from 1 species